rnacentral:pre_miRNA from 1 species
CGUUGCGACCGCUGUAAAUUGUAAUCAUCAAAGCGUCUGCUAAAUCGCUUGGUGUUACUUCUUACAGUGAGCGCGGCG